GUCAUGUACCCCCGCAUUGAAUGCGGGGGCUUGCGAACAGCGUUCGCUCUGUUCGCAAGCCUGAGACAUGAGCAGACUCAGGUUUGAAAGAGAACCUACGUUAUCGGCAAGUGUUCAAGAACCUACCUCCGGGUGCUUCACCAGCCUGGAGCUCUAGA
rnacentral:sRNA from 24 species